GGACGAUGUUGUUAUGAGAACUUCGGAGAAUAAUGACAAUAAUUUGGAAGUUUCGAAUUUGUCACAAUAACUGAGGAGCUGCUGUCUGUCAACACAGUAGAUCGUAUACUCGACUUCAGCCAUUAUGACUUGCAGAAUUGUUGCACGCUAAGAUAUCUGUUUAUAUUUAGUUCACAGAUCAAUCAAAAAUAAAUCAGCUUAUCUGCAAAGAGAACGAAAAUGGACUAGAAAGACAAAGA
rnacentral:misc_RNA from 1 species